AAACUCUAUUCUUUCACAGACUCAGUUACACCACUAACCUCUCUAAACCAGCAGUCUCUCAUUAUUUCAAGGCUCGUUCCUUGAGCUAGGAACCUCGUCACGAUUAUUUCACACCAAAUGCCUCCUAUGUUGCUGGUGCUGCUCUCCUCCAAAAAGUUCAGUAAAUUCGUGCCAGAGGUGUUUUAAGUUCUGUGCAUUGAAAUGAGCUAUUUCCCACUUCAUAGCUAUAUAAUAAACAACAAAAUAUUGACUUUGAAAACAAGCUUUCAUUUUUGAUUUCCAGAAAUAUGACAUGGAUAGCAACUAGUCCUGUUGUUCAGCCUUGCUGUAAAAUUCCAAGCCAGUUAUAUUGUCCAAUGAUGUGUCCUUUAUUGUUAAAUAAAUCUGUGCAAUUUGUUUAAUUUAGUUGAUUGUUUGUAUUAUUUGUUUCACUGUUUAUCAAUAUAUUAACUUGCUGUGUAUCAUU